CGAAGCUGUGUGGAAGUGCAAGGAGAAUAUUUGGACAAAAGGAUUUUUAGUGAAUAGAAUCUACCUGGACACAACCAUGCCCUGGCAAGAGGCAAACUGCAUCCCUGUUAUCACCUGACAUAAGACAAGCGGAGAAGAAAUAUUUACCAUGGUUCCUGGACACAGUACAAAGCAUGGAGGUAGAAGUUAAGACCAACAAACGAUCUUACCUGAAAGGGUUGAAAAGUCAUUGAUCUGGAACACGUGAUCGGCAUCUGGGUCAGAAGCUAUCAAGUCCAUUUCAUUCCGGAAAAGAACAUAGUUG